UCAGAACUGAAUAGCAUAUAAAUCUAUAAAAUGAACUUAAACAAUUAGAUUGAUUAAUACGAAAAGGCUAAAAAUAUAUUAUAAAAACAAACACCCGUGCGUCCGCACGGAUCAAAAUCUAGUAAUAGUUUUAAAACUUGAUCCUGGUUAAUUCACCGCAUAAUAAGAAAGCUCACGCAUUACGCCUAGCAUGGUUCCAAACAAGAAAAUAAAGAAGGGUUGAGUGACAACUAGGGAAGUUUAUAUAAUAAAAUUUCAUGCUUUCAUUAUUUUAGCUCCACCCAUAUCCCCAUCAUAAUUACCACAGUUCUCCAGUGCGGCAGCGCCUACAUCAGUACUCUCAUUCACUCCUAGCCUUUUCAGUAAUUUACUGUAUCUUUUUUUUUUGACAACAUUUACUGUAUCUUGUCCCCUAAUAUCUUUCAUUUGGAUCGCUAUCUUUAUACAAACA
rnacentral:lncRNA from 1 species